rnacentral:rRNA from 1 species
CCAGACUCCUACGGGAGGCAGCAGUGGGGAAUAUUGCGCAAUGGGCGGAAGCCUGAUGCAGCAACGCCGCGUGCGGGAUGACGGCCUUCGGGUUGUAAACCGCUUUCGCCUGUGACGAAGCGUGAGUGACGGUAAUGGGUAAAGAAGCACCGGCUAACUACGUGCCAGCAGCCGCGGUGAUACGUAGGGUGCGAGCGUUGUCCGGAUUUAUUGGGCGUAAAGGGCUCGUAGGUGGUUGAUCGCGUCGGAAGUGUAAUCUUGGGGCUUAACCCUGAGCGUGCUUUCGAUACGGGUUGACUUGAGGAAGGUAGGGGAGAAUGGAAUUCCUGGUGGAGCGGUGGAAUGCGCAGAUAUCAGGAGGAACACCAGUGGCGAAGGCGGUUCUCUGGGCCUUUCCUGACGCUGAGGAGCGAAAGCGUGGGGAGCGAACAGGCUUAGAUACCCUGGUAGUCCACGCUGUAAACGGUGGGUACUAGGUGUGGGGUCCAUUCCACGGGUUCCGUGCCGUAGCUAACGCUUUAAGUACCCCGCCUGGGGAGUACGGCCGCAAGGCUAAAACUCAAAGGAAUUGACGGGGGCCCGCACAAG